rnacentral:tRNA from 1 species
GGGUUGCUAGCUCAAUCGGUAGAGCAACUGCCUCUUAAGCAGUAGGUUCUGGGUUCGAGUCCCAGGCAACCCACCA